rnacentral:rRNA from 1 species
GACGAACGCUGGCGGCGUGCCUAAUACAUGCAAGUAGAACGCUGAAGCUUGGUGCUUGCCCCGAGCGGAUGAGUUGCGAACGGGUGAGUAACGCGCAGGUAACCUGCCUGGUAGCGGGGGAUAACUAUUGGAAACGAUAGCUAAUACCGCAUAAGAGUAGAUGUUGCAUGACAUUUGCUUAAAAGGUGCAAUUGCAUCACUACCAGAUGGACCUGCGUUGUAUUAGCUAGUUGGUGAGGUAACGGCUCACCAAGGCAACGAUACAUAGCCGACCUGAGAGGGUGAUCGGCCACACUGGGACUGAGACACGGCCCAGACUCCUACGGGAGGCAGCAGUAGGGAAUCUUCGGCAAUGGACGGAAGUCUGACCGAGCAACGCCGCGUGAGUGAAGAAGGUUUUCGGAUCGUAAAGCUCUGUUGUAAGAGAAGAACGAGUGUGAGAGUGGAAAGUUCACACUGUGACGGUAUCUUACCAGAAAGGGACGGCUAACUACGUG